rnacentral:rRNA from 1 species
AUUGAACGCUGGCGGCAUGCCUUACACAUGCAAGUCGAACGGCAGCACGGGGGCAACCCUGGUGGCGAGUGGCGAACGGGUGAGUAAUGCAUCGGAACGUGCCCCGUAGCGGGGGAUAACCAGUCGAAAGACUGGCUAAUACCGCAUACGCUCCACGGAGGAAAGCAGGGGAUCGCAAGACCUUGCACUAUGGGAGCGGCCGAUGCCCGAUUAGCUAGUUGGUGAGGUAAAGGCUCACCAAGGCGACGAUCGGUAGCUGGUUUGAGAGAACGACCAGCCACACUGGGACUGAGACACGGCCCAGACUCCUACGGGAGGCAGCAGUGGGGAAUUUUGGACAAUGGGCGCAAGCCUGA